rnacentral:rRNA from 1 species
CAUAGCGGAGAAAAGAAACCAACAGGGAUUGCCCCAGUAACGGCGAGUGAAGCGGCAACAGCUCAAAUUUGAAAUCUGGCCCCCUCGGGGCCCGAGUUGUAAUUUGCAGAGGGAGCUUUUGGCGUCGGUCGUGGUCUAAGUUCCUUGGAACAGGACGUCACAGAGGGUGAGAAUCCCGUACGUGGCCGCCGGCCUUCGCCUUGUAAAGCCCCUUCGACGAGUCGAGUUGUUUGGGAAUGCAGCUCUAAAUGGGAGGUAAAUUCCUUCUAAAGCUAAAUACCCGCCAGAGACCGAUAGCGCACAAGUAGAGUGAUCGAAAGAUGAAAAGCACUUUGGAAAGAGAGUGAAAAAGCACGUGAAAUUGUUGAAAGGGAAGCGCUUGCGGCUAGACGUGCCCGCGGUUGAUCAUCCAGGCUCCGGCCUGGUGCACUCCUCCGCGGGCAGGCCAGCAUCAGUUCGGGCGGUCGGAUAAAGGCCUCUGUCACGUACCACCCCUCGGGGUGGCCUUAUAGGGGAGGCGCAACACGGCCAGCCCGGACUGAGGUUCCGCGCAUCUGCUAGGAUGCUGGCGUAAUAGCAGCAAGCGGCCCGUCUUGAAACACGGACCAAGGAGUCUAACAUCUAUGCGAGUGUUUGGGUGUCAAGCCCGAGCGCGCAAUGAAAGUGAACGGAGGUGGGAACCCUCACGGGUGCACCAUCGACCGAUCCUGAUGUCUUCGGAUGGAUUUGAGUAAGAGCAUAGCUGUUGGGACCCGAAAGAUGGUGAACUAUGCCUGAAUAGGGUGAAGCCAGAGGAAACUCUGGUGGAGGCUCGCAGCGGUUCUGACGUGCAAAUCGAUCGUCAAAUUUGGGC